AGUCAGGUCCUUCCUAGCAACCUCAUCUGUCAGUAGGAUGCAAGUGCUGCCUCAUGCAAAUUAGCAGCCUUAAUAAAUACAGUGACCCACCAUGCUGCAAUGUGUAUUCUGUAAUUAUGCCGGCUUGUGAGAAAUAAUGAAACCUUAAAGUAGUGAGUGUAUAGAGAUAGCUUGCUGCAUUAAAAUAUCAAUUAACCGAUCUCCAUGGAAAUACAUGGGAGUUGUUAGUUCAGCCUUAGAGGGCAGUCAAUAUGCUGUGACGAAAGACAAAUCAAACCAGCACUGGAUUUUCAUCAUGAAGGUGGGCAACAGGAGCUGAGUCUGUUUCCAUUAGAAAACAGUCUGAAGUCCGGUUAUCCAUAACCAUUGGAUCUUGAUUGAUACACAGACCGGUUUCCUGUCCAACUAAAGCCAUUAAGAAUCGGAAUGGGUCUGAUGAUGUGUGGGAAUCAUUCAGUUCAGUGUGGAAGCCAUCACUGAGGUUGUUUUUCACCCUGAAGGAAGAGAACAACAGUUUGUGCUGAAGCUUUCCAGUACAUUAGAAGGUAAUGAGAAUACAGAGGGGAACUCUGGAUGUGCUGAAAAAUUCAAGACUGGAGGAUCCUUGACCACCACAGGCAGGAGAUUAGUGAUUUGGAAAUACCCAAUAUCUAUGACUGUACCUCAGACUGCAUUUAGAAGAUUCAAAUUUCUUGGACAUUUCCUACACAGGAUAAAGGACAUCACAAAGAGGCUGCAGAAUGUCCUGUGUGGGCAUGUGGGAGGCAGGAGCAGAGGGCCAUAAUUUACAGCACACGUUGGUAUCAAAGAGCAUUCAGAUCUCAAUGGAAAUUUUCAGGACAGACAAAGACAAAACUGAAACUCAAUGGGUGUUAGACAAAUGUGAAAUGGAUUCCAUUGAGCUGCAUUGAGCUGUGAUAGUCUCUUGUCAAAACAAGAAUACCUUGGCUGUCUAAAGCUUUAAAGAUAUGAAAAACCAGAACACAGAUUUUCAUUCCAGCCUAGAGAUUAAUUUAUUCAAGAAUUUAUAGGCCUGCUGCAAAAAAAGAGACCUGGACAUUUCAAAGAAUAAAUCUGACACUAUCUCACUGCCCGAUUCAAAUAUCAAGAUCAUGGCAAUUAUAAAUCUCAUAUCAAGACACUUAAAACAGAUAUUAUCCACCUUUCAAGAGUAUUUAGGCCUAUUCUUUCAAUUUGGUAUGUUAAGGUCCUUGGAACAGCCAAUAUGGUGACUCUUUGAACUGAACAUUAAGUUCAAAUGGCCCUGCUUUGUUUUGGCUUCACUCCUGGAUGAUUCGUGUCCUGGGCUCUGAUUCUCUGCCAAUAAUAGUUGGAUCUGUUGUAAAUGGAACUUCCUUGCCUGAGUCCUUCCUCCCAUUUUAAAGGAUUUGUGGAAAUUCAGUCCUGAAUGUCUUCAGUAACAACCAAAAUAUAGUUGUAUGAAUCUGAAAAAAGGAGCUUUUAAACAGUUCUUUGUAUCCUUUGUUAAUGGCAAGUUUAAGCAAGUGCAGAAAAUCCUUGAAAUCCUGCAAGAAUAAGACAAAGGUGCAGAUAUUUAAUGUGCAAACAGAAAUCAGUCGCUCAUUAAUUGGUUAAGUAUGAAUAUAAGUUGCAAAUUUGUAUUCAAGAUGCAGCUAAACUUGAUAACUCUAGCUAAUUAAUUGGCCCUGUGAGGUUUGUUUAACGUCUGUCUUAUAUCCUGUCAGCCAUGUUUCAGCUGUUCACUUACAGCUCACUCCAACUAAAAUUGUAUAUCUAUACAUCUUUGACUAUUUUCCUGCACACAACCAAUUCAAAGCUAGUAUGAAAUAUAGAUUUUCUGUGUCACAAAUAAAACUAACAAUUAAAUUGACAGAAAAUUUUACUAUUUUUUAGAGUCUAUUAUUAUAGCAAAUUUAGAUGAAUUUGUGCAAAAUACACACGUACCAGAAUAUACUAAUACAUACCAACACGGGUAUAUUUUUAUAAAAGAAAACUGUAGGCCUUAGAAAAUAUUCUGAUUUUAAAUGCCAACAGUAAAAUGAUGGCGCAUUUAGGAAAGUGAGUUUGCCAAGGAUCACAUCUAAGCACUUAAGUUCAGCAAGUUGCAGGAGUUAUAAUAUUUUAAUAAUGCCCCUAUGAGGUGGUACCCAAUUCGAUGCAGGCAUGCUGAAAAACAUUUAAACCGCAAGUCAAAAUCUGUACCAAUUUAUUUCUGACUACCUAAUUACUACUCCUUGCAAACUAGAGAUAAGCCAUAACUUCAGUGAUUAUGUCCUUGCCUCAAUAUAAGAAUAACAUUUCCCACUGGAGAAUGAACUGAAAUAAAAAGAAAAAUGUUUUUCAAGUAUGAUUCAUUUAAUUCACUCAUUGUUUGUUGAAGGAUCAGAUUGGGUCACUUUAAUUGGUCAUCAAUUCCAACUGAAAAUAACUUCUAUGUGCGUGACUUUUGUAUUACAAAUAUGAGGCAGAUGUGCAAUGCUCCCAGUUUUAGCUAAUUGACAAAAUGUGAAGCUUUCAUCCUUAGGAAAUAUCAGUCUAAAUUAAUAGCAAAACAUGAAUACAGGUGAUGUAAAGAAUGCUUAUGGUUGUCCAAAGCGGACAAAUCUAUGAUUGAAUAUGUGGUAAUUUAGGACAUGAAAAAUUGCUCCCAACAGCCAGUAGUUUCAAUGUGAAUGAAAAUAAAUCAGGAAGAACUACAUCAUGACUUCUCCAACUGAUGCCUGAACCAUACAAUCAAAUAUGAUUCUUGAAAUGUAGUGAUUGUAUAUUAUGAUAGAUACAUGUGAUCAUAUAGUGACAGCCUCAUUAAUGGUAGGACUACAAUGGCAUGCUUUUCAGAAGGGAAUCAUUCGCGUAUUUUUGUAAAACACAUCAAUGUGGCCAAGUAUUAUUUUCUGCUGUCUUGAGGUCCUAUUGCAACAAUUGUUUGAAUGUGUUAACUCAAAAAGUGAGAGUUUUUUUUGAACUUUUUUUUGCCUUAUUUA